rnacentral:rRNA from 1 species
CAGUCGCCGCGGGAAUACGUAAGUGGCAAGCGUUAUCCGGAAUUAUUGGGCGUAAAGGGCGCGUAGGCGGACUGAUAAGUCAGGGGUGAAAUCCCAAGGCUCAACCUUGGAACUGCCUUUGAUACUGUUUGUCUUGAGUUCGAGAGAGGUAAGUGGAACUGCGAGUGUAGAGGUGAAAUUCGUAGAUAUUCGCAAGAACACCAGUGGCGAAGGCGGCUUACUGGCUCGAAACUGACGCUGAGGCGCGAAAGCGUGGGGAGCAAACAGGAUUAGAUACCCCAGUAGUCCCUGUCUCUUAUAC